UCUCCCUUCGGGGACAUGCAUCUGAUAAAAUUAGAACGAUACAAACAAGAUUAGCAUGGCCUCAGCACAAGGAUGACAUGCAUAAAUCGAAAAAAAAAUAGAUCAGC